rnacentral:rRNA from 1 species
AGCGUACAAGGUGGAUGCCUUGGCAAUCAGAGGCGAAGAAGGACGUGCUAAUCUGCGAAAAGCUUGGAUGAGUCGAUAAGAGGCGUUUAAUCCAAGAUGUCCGAAUGGGGAAACCCAGUAGAUGAAGAAUCUACUAUCACUUACUGAAUCCAUAGGUAAGUGAGGCAAACCGGGAGAACUGAAACAUCUAAGUACCCCGAGGAAAAGAAAUCAACCGAGAUUUCGUUAGUAGCGGCGAGCGAACGCGAAGGAGCCUGUUAGUGAUAAUGACAGAGACAGAGGAACAAGCUGGGAAGCUUGGCGAUACAGGGUGAUAGCCCCGUACUCGAAGUCCAGGUCAUGGUACUAAGCUAACGACAAGUAGGGCGGGACACGUGAUAUCCUGUUUGAAGAAGGGGGGACCAUCCUCCAAGGCUAAAUACUCCUGAUUGACCGAUAGUGAACCAGUACUGUGAAGGAAAGGCGAAAAGAACCCCGGUGAGGGGAGUGAAAUAGAACCUGAAACCUUGUACGUACAAGCAGUGGGAGCCCUUUAAGGGUGACUGCGUACCUUUUGUAUAAUGGGUCAGCGACUUAUAUUUUGUAGCGAGGUUAACCGAAUAGGGGAGCCGAAGGGAAACCGAGUCUUAACUGGGCGUCUAGUUGCAAGGUAUAGACCCGAAACCCGGUGAUCUAGCCAUGGGCAGGUUGAAGGUUGGGUAACACUAACUGGAGGACCGAACCGACUAAUGUUGAAAAAUUAGCGGAUGACUUGUGGCUGGGGGUGAAAGGCCAAUCAAACCGGGAGAUAGCUGGUUCUCCCCGAAAUCUAUUUAGGUAGAGCCUUGAGCGGACACCUUCGGGGGUAGAGCACUGUUUCGGCUAGGGGUCCAUCCCGGAUUACCAACCCGAUGCAAACUACGAAUACCGAAGAGUGAUACUCAGGAGACACACGGCGGGUGCUAACGUCCGUCGUGGAGAGGGAAACAACCCAGACCGCCAGCUAAGGUCCCAAAGUCUAUAUUAAGUGGGAAACGAAGUGGGAAGGCUUAGACAGCUAGGAUGUUGGCUUAGAAGCAGCCAUCAUUUAAAGAAAGCGUAAUAGCUCACUAGUCGAGUCGGCCUGCGCGGAAGAUGUAACGGGGCUCAAAUAUAGCACCGAAGCUGCGGCAUCAGUAGCAAUACUGUUGGGUAGGGGAGCGUUCUGUAAGCGGAUGAAGGUUAAUCGAGAGGUUAGCUGGACGUAUCAGAAGUGCGAAUGCUGACAUAAGUAACGAUAAAACGGGUGAAAAACCCGUUCGCCGGAAGACCAAGGGUUCCUGUCCAACGUUAAUCGGGGCAGGGUGAGUCGGCCCCUAAGGCGAGGCUGAAAAGCGUAGUCGAUGGGAAACGGGUUAAUAUUCCCGUACUUGGAUAAACUGCGAUGUGGGGACGGAGCAGGUUAGGUUAUCGCACUGUUGGAUAUGUGCGUUUAAGUUUGUAGGUGUGAAGUUUAGGCAAAUCCGGACUUCUUUAACACUGAGAGAUGAUGACGAGGCUCUACGGAGCUGAAGUAACCGAUACCACACUUCCAGGAAAAGCCACUAAGCUUCAGGUUUAUCUAAACCGUACUGAAAACCGACACAGGUGGUCAGGUAGAGAAUACUCAGGCGCUUGAGAGAACUCGGGUGAAGGAACUAGGCAAAAUAGCACCGUAACUUCGGGAGAAGGUGCGCCGGCGUAGAUUGUAAGGGCUUGCCCCUGAAGGUUGAACCGGUCGAAGAUACCAGCUGGCUGCAACUGUUUAUUAAAAACACAGCACUCUGCAAACACGAAAGUGGACGUAUAGGGUGUGAUGCCUGCCCGGUGCUGGAAGGUUAAUUGAUGGUGUAAUCGAAAGAGAAGCUCCUGAUCGAAGCCCCAGUAAACGGCGGCCGUAACUAUAACGGUCCUAAGGUAGCGAAAUUCCUUGUCGGGUAAGUUCCGACCUGCACGAAUGGCAUAAUGAUGGCCAGGCUGUCUCCACCCGAGACUCAGUGAAAUUGAAAUCGCCGUGAAGAUGCGGUGUACCCGCGGCUAGACGGAAAGACCCCGUGAACCUUUACUAUAGCUUGACACUGAACAUUGAAUUUUGAUGUGUAGGAUAGGUGGGAGACUUAGAAGUAGUCACGCCAGUGAUUAUGGAGUCGUCCUUGAAAUACCACCCUUUAACGUUUGAUGUUCUAACGAAGAUUACGAAACGUGGUCUCGGACAGUGUCUGGUGGGUAGUUUGACUGGGGCGGUCUCCUCCCAAAGAGUAACGGAGGAGCACGAAGGUUGGCUAAUCCUGGUCGGACAUCAGGAGGU